rnacentral:rRNA from 1 species
GACGUAGGGCGCGAGCGUUGUCCGGAUUUAUUGGGCGUAAAGAGCUCGUAGGCGGCUUGUUGCGUCAGCUGUGAAAACCCGCAGCUCAACUGUGGGCUUGCAGCUGAUACGGGGCAGGCUUGAGUUCGGUAGGGGGAGACUGGAAUUCCUGGUGUAGCGGUGAAAAUGCGCAGAUAUCAGGAGGAACACCGGUGGCGAAGGCGGGUUCUCUGGGCAUUACCCUGACGCUGAGGAGCGAAAAGUGUGGGGGGAGCGAACAGGGAUUUAG